rnacentral:sRNA from 1 species
GAAGAAGAGUUGGCUUUAGACCGCAAUUCGAGAUAACGAGUGACAAAGUUUAAAGACACAGCAUGUUUGGAUUGAAGGGGUAGAACAUACGAUAUUUCGUAUUUCUUUUUAUUCCAACAUUCGGUUUCAAGUGAAAUAAGAAGAAGACAACCCCUAAUAAUUCACAUUGAAAUGACGUCAAUCAAAGUUGACGUAUGUAAAAAUGAAUUAAAAGAAAUUGUCAUCGUCAUUGCUGUGGACAAAAAAGGCAGAUGGAAAGAUUAAAUAGUGGGAGACACCUUGAAAGUUGGUGUUAGAGAUUAUAAAAAAAGGACAGAAGAUCAAGGCGCUAUUCUACGUUCGAGAGACGAGACACAUACGGUUGGAACUAGAAAGCAUCUUCCUUCUCUUGUUCCUAUGGUAUCAUAUUGGAGGAAAACGUGUAAGUGCGUCUGAUGGCAGACUGCCACUUAAACCUAUCCUAACCCAAGCUUUCCGGGAAACAAACUUAACCUUCCCUAGGCCAACAAAGAACAAUGAAUAAGGACGGAGGAGGAGCACACAAGUUAUAGUCAGAUUCGGGGCUCAAGAAGCAAAAUGGGGAGAUCGGUUUAUAUGGGAGCUGUAUCAGGCUAUAUAUCGAUUCUGACCAUAUUGCCUGCCCAUGGGAUUGAUUGACAACGGUGGUUAACCCCUUCUAAUGCUGAUGAUGAUAAUGCUGAUAAUGAUAAUGAGAAUAAAUCGAUAGCACCGUCCAUACAAUUAAA